rnacentral:rRNA from 1 species
GAUGAACGCUGGCGGCGUGCUUAACACAUGCAAGUCGAACGGUGAAGGAGAGCUUGCUCUCCGGAUCAGUGGCGAACGGGUGAGUAACACGUGAGCAAUCUGCCCCUGACUCUGGGAUAAGCGCUGGAAUCGGCGUCUAAUACCGGAUACGAGCUGCGAAGGCAUCUUCAGCAGCUGGAAAGAACUUCGGUCAGGGAUGAGCUCGCGGCCUAUCAGCUAGUUGGUGAGGUAAUGGCUCACCAAGGCGUCGACGGGUAGCCGGCCUGAGAGGGUGACCGGCCACACUGGGACUGAGACACGGCCCAGACUCCUACGGGAGGCAGCAGUGGGGAAUAUUGCACAAUGGGCGCAAGCCUGAUGCAGCAACGCCGCGUGAGGGACGACGGCCUUCGGGUUGUAAACCUCUUUUAGCAGGGAAGAAGCGAAAGUGACGGUACCUGCAGAAAAAGCACCGGCUAACUACGUGCCAGCCGCCGCCGUAA